rnacentral:rRNA from 1 species
AAUCAACGCUGGCGGCGUGCCUCAGACAUGCAAGUCGAACGAUUAAAGCUCUCUUCGGAGAGUGCAUAGAGUGGCGCACAGGUGAGUAACACGUAAGUAAUCUACCUUCGAGUGGGGAAUAACGUCCGGAAACGGACGCUAAUACCGCAUAAUGCAGCGGCAUCAUAAGAUGACAGUUGUUAAAGAUUUAUCGCUUGAAGAGGAGCUUGCGGCAGAUUAGCUAGUUGGUAAGGUAAUGGCUUACCAAGGCUACGAUCUGUAACCGGUCUAAGAGGACGGUCGGUCACACUGACACUGAAUAACGGGUCAGACUCCUACGGGAGGCAGCAGUCGGGAAUUUUGGGCAAUGGGCGAAAGCCUGACCCAGCAACGCCGCGUGAGUGAUGAA